UACCAGCACCCCGAGUGGUCGGGACGUUUAUUGGGCCCAAAGCAUCCGUAGCCGGUUCUACAAGUCUUCCGUUAAAUCCAGCUGCUUAACAGAUGGGCUGCGGAAGAUACUAUGGAGCUAGGAGGCGGGAGAGGCAAGCGGUACUCGAUGGGUAGGGGUAAAAUCCGUUGAUCCAUUGAAGACCACCAGUGGCGAAGGCGGCUUGCCAGAACGCGCUCGACGGUGAGGAUGAA
rnacentral:rRNA from 1 species